CGAAGUCACGCCUCUUCCGGUAGAGCUCAUGGGACCUAUGAGAUCGAAAAAUAUGAAUGGGUGUCAAUGGAGAGAAAAUAAUUAUUUUCUGGUCCCAGUCUUUAUAUGACCUGGAUUACACAUAUGUUGUUUGUGGAUUUGAAUGAUAAUUUUUCAUGCAAAGAAAACAAAAAAAUUUCGUGAAGAAGAUUGAUCAUUUUAGGUUUUAUGUGAGGCCGCUUUGUGAACUAUGCUCUUCGCUGCUCUCGACGCAUAUGAUAUACGUCACAACACACGCACUUGGAACUCGGCACAGAGAUGGCGAUCUCUUUGCCCCACUUCACCGCUGUUUCCAAGGGGAGGAUAAAAGCAUCGAAAGAGGUCCCAUGAGCUCUACCGGAAGGGGCGUGACUUCGCCACUCUAUUGAGCGUGACAA